CCCAGGCGUUUCCAUGCUUCUGCUAUCAUCUGAUCUUCACAACAGGGAUUAUUUACGCCCAGCUGUCUCUCAGCAGUUCUUUAACCAAUCUGGGAUAAGGCUUCAACAGUUGAAAACUUGAAGGUUACAACUAUCUGAGGCUGGGUACAGAUAAGUCAUGUGUUCCUUGGACUUGUUCUGUGUACCCAAACAGUCUAGAAUGAAGGUUAAAAAAACAGCUCAUGUUCAUACAUAGAAACAGAAACUGACCUGAAUACCGAAACU